UGGGGACUGGUUUCAUUUCGGUGAAUUAGAUUAAAUUGACAGUUCUAGCACCAUUUGAAAUCAGUGCUUU
rnacentral:pre_miRNA from 1 species